rnacentral:rRNA from 1 species
GAGUUUGAUCCUGGUUCAGGACGAACGCUGGCGGCGUGCCUAACACAUGCAAGUCGAACGGAGAAUUUCAAAGGGUAACUGGAGAAAUUUUUAGUGGCGGACGGGUGAGUAACGCGUGGGUAACCUACCCAACAGACCGGGACAACACUUGGAAACGAGUGCUAAUACCGGAUAGCCUAUGACUUCGGCAUCGGAGAGAUAGGAAAGGUGGCCUCUAUUUAUAAGCUACCGUUGUAGGAUGGACCCGCGUCUGAUUAGCUAGUUGGUGGGGUAACGGCCUACCAAGGCAACGAUCAGUAGCCGGCCUGAGAGGGUGAACGGCCACACUGGGACUGAGACACGGCCCAGACUCCUACGGGAGGCAGCAGUGGGGAAUCUUCCGCAAUGGACGAAAGUCUGACGGAGCAACGCCGCGUGUAUGAUGAAGGCCUUCGGGUUGUAAAGUACUGUCUUUGGGGACGAAUGGUAACUAUGAAAAUAUUGUAGUUACAUGACGGUACCCAAGAAGGAAGCCCCGGCUAACUACGUGCCAGCAGCCGCGGUAAUACGUAGGGGCAAGCGUUGUCCGGAAUCAUUGGGCGUAAAGGGCGCGUAGGCGGAUAGUUAAGUCCGAUGUGAAAUACCA